GACGAACGCUGGCGGCGUGCUUAACACAUGCAAGUCGAACGGAAAGGCCCUGCUUUUGUGGGGUGCUCGAGUGGCGAACGGGUGAGUAACACGUGAGUAACCUGCCCUUGACUUUGGGAUAACUUCAGGAAACUGGGGCUAAUACCGGAUAGGAGCUCCUGCUGCAUGGUGGGGGUUGGAAAGUUUCGGCGGUUGGGGAUGGACUCGCGGCUUAUCAGCUUGUUGGUGGGGUAGUGGCUUACCAAGGCUUUGACGGGUAGGCGGCCUGAGAGGGUGACCGGCCACCUGGGGACUGAGGUACGGCCCAGACUCCUACGGGAGGCAGCAGUGGGGAAUAUUGCACAAUGGGCCGAAGCCUGAUGCGACAACGCCGCGUUCGGGAUGACGGCCUUCGGGUUGUAAACCGCUUUCGCCUGUGACGAAGCGUGAGUGACGGUAAUGGGUAAAGAAGCACCGGCUAACUACGUG
rnacentral:rRNA from 1 species